rnacentral:rRNA from 1 species
AUUGAACGCUGGCGGCAUGCCUUACACAUGCAAGUCGAACGGCAGCACGGGGGCAACCCUGGUGGCGAGUGGCGAACGGGUGAGUAAUGCAUCGGAACGUGCCCAGUAGUGGGGGACAACCAGUCGAAAGAUUGGCUAAUACCGCAUACGACCUAUGGGUGAAAGCGGGGGACCGUAAGGCCUCGCGCUAUUGGAGCGGCCGAUGUCUGAUUAGCUAGUUGGUGAGGUAAAGGCUCACCAAGGCGACGAUCAGUGGCUGGUCUGAGAGGACGACCAGCCACACUGGGACUGAGACACGGCCCAGACUCCUACGGGAGGCAGCAGUGGGGAAUUUUGGACAAUGGGCGCAAGCCUGAUCCAGCCAUGCCGCGUGCGGGAAGAAGGCCUUCGGGUUGUAAACCGCUUUUGGCAGGAACGAAACGGCGCGGGCUAAUACCCAGCGUUAAUGACGGUACCUGCAGAAUAAGCACCGGCUAACUACGUGCCAGCCGCCGCCGUAACAC